rnacentral:tRNA from 1 species
GUCUAUAUAGAUUAAGAAAAUCGUGAUGCUGUUAACUUCAAGAUGGGAUACGUCCCUAUAGUCG